rnacentral:rRNA from 1 species
UACGAAGGGGGCUAGCGUUGCUCGGAAUCACUGGGCGUAAAGCGCACGUAGGCGGCUUCUUAAGUCAGGGGUGAAAUCCUGGAGCUCAACUCCAGAACUGCCCUUGAUACUGAGAGGCUCGAGUCCGGGAGAGGUGAGUGGAACUGCGAGUGUAGAGGUGAAAUUCGUAGAUAUUCGCAAGAACACCAGUGGCGAAGGCGGCUCACUGGCCCGAUACUGACGCUGAGGUGCGAAAGCGUGGGGAGCAAACAGG